GGCGCUGUAGCUCAGAGGAAGUAGCAAUCUGCUCAUAACAGAUAGGUCGGGAUGUCAGAAUUCCCCAGUGCCA
rnacentral:tRNA from 1 species